GAUGAACGCUAGCGGCAGGCUUAACACAUGCAAGUCGAGGGGUAGAAGGAGCUUGCUCCUUUGAGACCGGCGCACGGGUGCGUAACGCGUAUGCAAUCUACCUUUUGCAGAGGGAUAGCCCAGAGAAAUUUGGAUUAAUACCUCAUAGUAUGUGAGGAUGGCAUCAUUUUCACAUUAAAGUCACAACGGCAAAAGAUGAGCAUGCGUCCCAUUAGCUAGUUGGUAAGGUAACGGCUUACCAAGGCUACGAUGGGUAGGGGUCCUGAGAGGGAGAUCCCCCACACUGGUACUGAGACACGGACCAGACUCCUACGGGAGGCAGCAGUGAGGAAUAUUGGACAAAUGGGCGCAAGCCUGAUCCAGCCAUGCCGCGUGCAGGAUGACGGUCCUAUGGAUUGUAAACUGCUUUUGUACAGGAAGAAC
rnacentral:rRNA from 1 species